rnacentral:lncRNA from 1 species
CGCUAUACAGCGCCUCAAAGCUUCAAACGUUCCUUUGUCUGAGCUCACAUUUCUCAUAGAUGGAAAAUUUCUUGGAAGUUAGCAAAGAUACAGCAAGCAUACCAAGACGAGAUCUAUGGUAAGAUUUUCUUCAUCAAUUUUAUAAACUGCAACUCCAAAUUUCUGUUUUAUCGGAUGAAAUUCACGAAUAUUGCUUUGAUUCUAGUUAAUACUCUCUCUCUCCCUCUCUCAGCCAUACACCCUCCAAUGUUUCCUACAGAUAAAAUCUGAUAGUGUCUCUAGGGAUGUCAAUCGGGCCAGUCCAUCAGGUUUUCGGGCUAGUCCUAUCGGGUUCCGGGUUAGUCGGGUGCGGGCUAAUCGGGUUGGAGAUUUUUUCGAUUGUAAAUCUUCAACCCUAACUCUAAACUUUCGGGUUUCGGGCUAGCCCAUCGGGCUAAUCAGGUUAAAGGCGUAAAAAUAAAAUUAUAAUUUGUAUUUUAUUAUUCCUAAUGAUCUAAUGUAUAAUGUAUAAAAUAUACAUAGAUAUUAAAUAUAUAAAUUAUAUAGCAAAGCAUGAAAUGCAAAAAUAUAAGAUAUUCAAGAUUACAUAAACAAAAUUAUAUUAAAAUGAGAUAGUAAAAUUUAACAUGUAUCAAUGCAUUAGAAUCAAUAUGGAUUAUUACUGAAUAAUUAGUGGAUUUGCCAUGCACGUCUCAUUGACAAGAAAAAAAAAUGGUAUCACUUUAAAAUGAGAUACUAAUAAUUAAUUUCUAACUAAUGAGAUACUAAUAAUCAAUUUCUACAAAAAAUCCGUAAUUAAUUUCACUUUUUUUAAUGAGAUUGCACACACACACACACACACACACACACACACACACACAUAUACUAACUAAUUAAUUACUUACUUUUAGUAGUAGACUAAUAUAUAUAGUUAAGCAAAUACCAUAGAUCUAAACAUAGCAGAAGUUGUAACUGGAUGCAUUAGUCACAAUUCCGUCACGCCCACCGGGCCAGCCCAUCGGGUUUUCGGGCUAGCCCUAGUCCGGGUUCGGGUUAGUCGGGUGCGGGCUAAUCGGGCUGGGUAGGUUUUUUCGGGUUGCGUAUUUUUCAACCCUAACCCUGUAAUUUUGUCGGGUUAUUCGGAUCGGCCCACGGGUUUCGGGCUGCAUUGACAUCCCUACGCGUGAGUAAAAAAAAUGAGUUUUUUCCUCUCUUUUCUCUCUCUCUUCUCCCGCCAAUUUUUCUCUUUCUUCUAUUUUUAUUUUAUUUUAAUUUUUUUUCUAAAUAUCAACAGAUUUGAUUUGUGAAAAAAUAUUCAAUAUUGAUCUUAAAUUUAAGUUCGUGACAAGAUUUUUAAUAUAGUAUAAAAAUUAUUCAAAAAGAUUCAAAACAAAAAAGUUAUCAAAAAACUAAAAUAUAAAAAUUCUAGAAUCUUGCUCCAGGAAUUGGUUAGGAGUUAAAAAGAGAAUCACCUGCUUUACCACUAUGUCUCCUGCUCCAACCUCAAUUCUUUGCAUGCNUUCAUUAUCGAAUAAUUUUUAAAUUUAUUUAAUAACUAUAAUUAUCAAUAUAUUUUGUAUUAGUUGAAAAUUUAUAUUUUUAAAUUCAAAAUUUUAUUGAGUAACUUAUGUGAAUUACUAUUAUAUUUUAUUUAUAAAACAUAUUUUGUAUUUAUUUAUAUUUUGAUUUUUUAUUUAUUUAAAUUUUCAUUUAAUUUCGAUAUCCAUCGUCGAUCAUACGUAUGGGCGUAUACUAGUUAUUAUUAAAUGAGAGGAUAUAGUGAAAAUUUUGGAAGCCAUGUUUAAAAUCACCCACCAAAAUAAUCGGCAACUCUUUUGUUUUCUUUUUGGGCUAUUUCCUUCUUCGUCUUUUGUUAUUUACAAUUAGCUUGGCUCAAACUAAUGAGUCCAAGUUCAAGCCCAACAUUCUUCUUUUGCUUGUGUUUUUAAUUAGUUGGGCUCAAACUAAUGAGGGCCCACAAACAGUAGACAUAUUAGCCCAAUUUAUAACCGGAACUCAUGCUGGCUGUGGGGGUUGUAAUCAACUCGAGCUAGCAAACUUAGGGCUGUUAAAUGGGCCGGAUCAGGUCAGCCUGGCCCAGACUCACUGAGCUAUCAACUUGUACCGGAUCAGCUUGACCCGGCCCGAAAUAUGAUUGGGUUGUAAAUCAUAACUAAAUUGGCCUAAUAUUUUUUUUUAUAUGAAAUGUUAAGACUUAUAAAUCUAUGGCUUAUAAAUAAAUAUAUCCAUCAAAUAAAUUAUCUAAUAAAAGUAAUGAAUAGAUAGAUUUUCUAAAAUAAUAGAUUAUCAAAUAAAAUAACAUUAAUUACAUGUAUAAAUAAAUAUAUUCAUUCAAUAAAAAUAAUUAAUCAAUAGAUUUUUUAAAAUAAUAGAUUAUCAAAUAAAAAAAUAUUUACAAUUAAAAAAAAAAAGGAAAAACACCUAAUUCACGAACAGUAUCCAUUCACUUAGCUCAUCUUCCAAUUCUCUCAAAGUAGGCCUUUCCUCCACUGCUCCGCCACUCUCCUCAUCAUCAACAGCUCCAGACACCGAAUCUCCCCCAUUUUCCGACGCCCUCCGCCACGGAAGAAGUUGGAGCAGGCGGGGAAGAACGCCUGCGCGGCCGCCGCGCAUGCAGCCGGGAAGCGCGUGGGUCCCAUCUACGUGGAGCUCGUAAACUAGCAACGGAAAACUCGUCUCCAAACAGCACCCCGAAAUCCUAGUUUCGUUUCCGCGGCGUAGAGAGCGACGGAUCACCUCGCCGAUGAACUGCUUGAUUUUCGAUUCCGGCACCAGCGUCGGAAUCUUCAUCACGACGGCCUCUCGAUUAUUCUCGAAGGUUCCGCGGCAGAAUUUCCCGUCCGUCUCACUGUAAUUGUUGGUGGCGAUCUCCAUUUCCUGAGCUGUGUAUAUUUUGAGUUGCGCAGAUCUCGAUCUCUUGCGAUUGGAUAGCUUCUUCUUCAGUAUGUUUCCGCCAUUCCUGUCGAACAAGCUCAUUCUGUUGUGCUCGAGCUUCCGUCUCCGAUGCGUCCAAACGAUCCAAGUGCUCGCGAAGAGGGGCGCUAGCACGAACACCCCCAAUAAGUAGGGGAUUUUGGAGUCGAUGAUGCAGAUUCCAUGGCAGCUCCGCAAGGCGACCGAGGUUGUUUUGGUGACGGAGGAAGAGAGGGUGAGAGAGAAAAACAUCAACUUGAAAGGAACGGAAUUGUGGAGACAGAUUUUCAGAAGAAUCUUCAAAGGGGUGGUGGUUGGACAAGAUAGGAGACAAGAGUUUAAAAGUGCAAACAUAGUAUAUGAAAAAAAAAGAGGGUUAAUAUGUAAAAACAUAUAUAUACAAAAAAAAGGGGGUUAAUAUGCAAAAACAUCCUAACGUUAUAUAUCACUCUAACUAUACUUAAGUCCCUAAUCUAACGUUGAUAGCAACUAACACCCCAAAGUUCAUUAAGUACUACAAUUAAACCCAUAACAAAAUUUCUUGUUAUUUGAUACUAGUAUCUGACCAUAAUCUAGUCAAAUAUAAAAGAAAAUAAAAUUAAAUAAGUUGGCGAAUACUUAGUAAUUAAGGAAAAAGAAAAAAAUGGUGUAGGCACUCUUUUGGAAAUUGGAAUUGGAACCAGCAAUUUUGCUAUCUUUCUUUUUUCUUUGUUUUCGUCUGAUGUUCUUCUUCUUCUUCUUCUUCUUCUUCUUCUUCUUCUUCUCUUUUUUAUUUGUUUUUUUAUUUGUUUUUUUUAAUACUGUUUUUUCUUAUCUUUCUUUAUAUACUAGUGUGUAACUCGUCGAAAUUCGACGAGAAACCAUUGCACAUCAUAAUUAUUAUUGUAUAUUAUUUAUAGUUAUUGUAUAUGAAAUGAUCUUUAUAUAUAUAAAUUAUUUUUUAAUUAAUUUUGUUUCAUCAAAAUAAAUUGUGUAGAUUGCCUUUACAUGUAAGUUUUUAUUUGAUAAAAUUUCACAAAAAAUUGAUGUGAUGUUGAAGAUUUUAGAAAAAAAAGAUUUAGGUAUAUUUGAAAUAGGAUAUAAUGAAGAAUUGAUAGAUUGUACUUUUUGUUAAUAGUAUGUAGAAAAGAUUUACCUUCAACCAAUCUCACUCGAUAAUCUUUAGGUUUUCUCCCAACAAAAAAAAAAAAAGAAAGACAUGCAAAUUAAACCUAACAAAAUAUUACUACUUCCAUUUUCCCAUAUUUGGCCUAUAUUUUUAAGGUCAAUGAAAGUGGGCUAUAAUUUGUCUCCAAACAGCAGCCCGCAAUCCUAAUUACAUUUCCGCCGCGUAGAGUGCGACGGAUCACCUCGUCGAUGAACUGCUUGAUUUUCAAUUCCGGCACCAGUGACGUACGGAAUCUUCAUCACGACGGCCUCUCGAUUAUUCUCGAAGGUUCCGCUGUAGAAUUUCCCCGGCUCUCUGUAAUUGUUAGUGGCGAUCUUCAUUUAGGAGAGAUGCGGCCGGCUGUUUAGGUUUUAAAUUAUACUACUAGAAUCCAAUUUUUUACUUUUUAUUCAUAUUCAUUUUAUUUCCUUCUUAUCUUUUUUUUAUAUUUUUUUAUUUUUAUGUCCAAAUCAAAAGUUGCCUCCAAGAUGAUGAAUUUUUUGAUAAUUAACCAUUUUUUAUACUACUAUUUUAUUGCAAUUUUUGCUGGAUGAGUUUGUUGAUCAGAUGUUGCUGGCUUUCUCAUUGAUCUUGUUAUUGUUAUAUAGUAAUGCUCUAAGCGUGUAAUUAAAUAACCAAUAAUUGCACCUAAUCUUUUCUUAUAGCUACGUGGAUUCAGCAUCAUAUGUUUCUGAUUUCUUUGCUUCAAUUCUAGAUUUUAAUAUAUUUGUGAUAUUUUUUUUUUGGUAAUUGAUGUAUAAAUACAUAAAUUUUAGUCAUUUUUUGGUAUUUAACAUGAAUUUUAAAAUCUAGUUAUAAAUGCAUGAAAUUUAAAUUUAUUUAAUUUUUGAC